rnacentral:rRNA from 1 species
GAUGAACGCUAGCGGCAGGCCUAACACAUGCAAGUCGAGGGGUAGAGGAAGCUUGCUUCCUUGAGACCGGCGCACGGGUGCGUAACGCGUUUGCAAUCUACCUUUUACAGAGGGAUAGCCCAGGGAAAUUUGGAUUAAUACCUCAUAGUAUCUUUGCCUGGCAUCGGGUGAUUAUUAAAGUUCCAACGGUAAAAGAUGAGCAUGCGUCCUAUUAGCUAGAUGGUAAGGUAACGGCUUACCAUGGCAACGAUAGGUAGGGGUCCUGAGAGGGAGAUCCCCCACACUGGUACUGAGACACGGACCAGACUCCUACGGGAGGCAGCAGUGAGGAAUAUUGGACAAUGGGCGCAAGCCUGAUCCAGCCAUGCCGCGUGCAGGAAGACGGUCCUAUGGAUUGUAAACUGCUUUUGUACGGGAAGAAACACUCCUACGUGUAGGAGCUUGACGGUACCGUAAGAAUAAGGAUCGGCUAACUCCGUGCCAGCCGCCGCGGUAACAC